CGCUAGCUACAGGCUUAACACAUGCAAGUCGAGGGGCAGCAGGAUCUAGCAAUAGAUUGCUGGCGACCGGCGCACGGGUGAGUAACACGUAUCCAACCUGCCGAUAACUCGGGGAUAGCCUUUCGAAAGAAAGAUUAAUACCCGAUAGUAUAAUCAGACCGCAUGGUUUGAUUAUUAAAGAAUUUCGGUUAUCGAUGGGGAUGCGUUCCAUUAGGCAGUUGGUGAGGUAACGGCUCACCAAACCUUCGAUGGAUAGGGGUUCUGAGAGGAAGGUCCCCCACAUUGGAACUGAGACACGGUCCAAACUCCUACGGGAGGCAGCAGUGAGGAAUAUUGGUCAAUGGACGCGAGUCUGAACCAGCCAAGUAGCGUGAAGGAUGACUGCCCUAUGGGUUGUAAACUUCUUUUAUAUGGGAAUAAAGUUUUCCACGUGUGGAAUUUUGUAUGUACCAUAUGAAUAAGGAUCGGCUAACUCCGUGCCAGCAGCCGCGGUAAUACGGAGGAUCCGAGCGUUAUCCGGAUUUAUUGGGUUUAAAGGGAGCGUAGGUGGACAGUUAAGUCAGUUGUGAAAGUUUGCGGCUCAACCGUAAAAUUGCAGUUGAUACUGGCUGUCUUGAGUACAGUAGAGGUGGGGGGAAUUCGUGGUGUAGCGGUGAAAUGCUUAGAUAUCACGAAGAACUCCGAUUGCGAAGGCAGCUCACUGGACUGCAACUGACACUGAUGCUCGAAAGUGUGGGUAUCAAACAGGAUUAGAUACCCUGGUAGUCCACACAGUAAACGAUGAAUACUCGCUGUUUGCGAUAUACAGUAAGCGGCCAAGCGAAAGCAUUAAGUAUUCCACCUGGGGAGUACGCCGGCAACGGUGAAACUCAAAGGAAUUGACGGGGGCCCGCACAAGCGGAGGAACAUGUGGUUUAAUUCGAUGAUACGCGAGGAACCUUACCCGGGCUUAAAUUGCAUUUGAAUAUAUUGGAAACAGUAUAGCCGUAAGGCAAAUGUGAAGGUGCUGCAUGGUUGUCGUCAGCUCGUGCCGUGAGGUGUCGGCUUAAGUGCCAUAACGAGCGCAACCCUUAUCUUUAGUUACUAACAGGUCAUGCUGAGGACUCUAGAGAGACUGCCGUCGUAAGAUGUGAGGAAGGUGGGGAUGACGUCAAAUCAGCACGGCCCUUACGUCCGGGGCUACACACGUGUUACAAUGGGGGGUACAGAAGGCAGCUACCUGGUGACAGGAUGCUAAUCCCAAAAGCCUCUCUCAGUUCGGAUCGAAGUCUGCAACCCGACUUCGUGAAGCUGGAUUCGCUAGUAAUCGCGCAUCAGCCAUGGCGCGGUGAAUACGUUCCCGGGCCUUGUACACACCGCCCGUCAAGCCAUGAAAGCCGGGGGUACCUGAAGUACGUAACCGCAAGGAGCGUCCUAGGGUAAAACUGGUAAUUGG
rnacentral:rRNA from 1 species